UACGUAGGGUGCAAGCGUUGCCCGGAUUUAUUGGGCGUAAAGGGCGCGCAGGCGGCUACGCACGUCCGUUGUGAAAUCGCUCGGCUCAACUGGGCGGGGUCGGCGGAUACGGCGUAGCUGGAGCAAGCUAGGGGGCAAUGGAAUUCCCGGUGUAGUGGUGGAAUGCGUAGAUAUCGAGAGGAACACCUGCGGCGAAGGCGGGUUGCUGGGCUGACACUGACGCUGAUGCGCGAAAGCUAGGGGAGCGAACGGG
rnacentral:rRNA from 1 species